rnacentral:rRNA from 1 species
GGUAUGAAAGGUUUGACGAGGAACUUACUUUUUUUAUUUAAAUUUUAUGAAUUUAAUUUUUUAGUCAAAAAGCUAAAAUUUUUUUGCAAGACGAGAAGACCCUAUAGAAUUUUAUUUAUUUAUGUUAAUUAAAUAUUAAGUUAUUUAACUAUUUUAUUUAUAUAAAUGAAUUUUGUUGGGGUGACAGUGAAAUUUAAAUAACUCUCAUAUAUAUAAUUCCUUGAUUUAUGUAAAAUUGAUCCCUUUUUAUUAGGAUUAUUAGAUUAAAUUACCUUAGGGAUAACAGCGA